AUUCAUUUCUAGUACCUCAUCAUUUUCUUUUUCUAUAUAUUUGUCUGAUUAUUUUCUGUAUUCUUUAUUUUUUGUCUAUAAUUUCCUUCUAUAAACCCCCAUCCACACCCUCAUGUAUAAUGGAAGACGAUAAACAUUUUAGUAUACAUACCCACCCGUUGUCACUUUCACCUGACAUACAAAUCACAUAUUGUUAUUACGGGCCCGUUAUUUCCACCUGGACACAGGACUUAUAUAAUAUAUAUGUUACGUAAUAAUAACGGAUAUAGUAAAUUCAGUAGAAUAUAACCUGUAUCAACGCACUGACUUGUUAAAUGUAUUUUGAACUGACAAUUGUUAAUCAUAUUUUAAAUUAUUUUAAAAUUAAGAAUAAAAAUCGAGAAUAUGUCAAAGAGACAACAACCCGAAAAGAACAGUUGACAGCCGAAGGCCACCAGUUAUAUUUGCUAAUGUUUUAGUUUUGAAUAAGGCAAAAACCAUUGUAUUUUCAGAAAAUCUCUAAACGGAUCUUUCGAGGUUACGUCACGGAAAUGUAUCUUAAAUGAAAAGGUGCAACUGGGUGCAUCCCUAAAAAAAAAAUUUAAAAAAAAAUCUAUAUAUAUAUAAAAUGACCGGUAUUCGUCAAUCAGACAGCAAUCCAGCAUAUGAACAUAAACACAAGAAAGUUACCUGACAUCUAGAAUAAGAGGUUUAAGCAUACAUGUACCCCGCGCUGGUAUCAACUUACUGAGUUGUGAGUAAAAUUCAAUAUACAUGUAGGACUGUGAAACGGGAAAUAUACGAAAGAUUUGUUUUUACGUACGAUUGAGUAUCAUUUCCUAAAUACAUACGGGUCCACACACUAUUCUUAUGAUUAAAUAAUGGUAAAUGAGGAUCUCAUUAGAAGAACAAAUUAAGUAAGGAUACAUGUAGAAGCAAGAAUGAUUUCCACAUGCAAAACAUCAAAUAGGACGAUCUCUCAAUUAGUACGCAACAACUUGAACUAUAACAUCCAUAGACAAUAACACUAUAGUAAAUGCUUUAUAUACUGACAUUGAAACGAAAAUACUGCUCAUAAUAAUUGCACAUAUGUAGACUUUAAUUGAGGUAUCCCGCGUUAUAUAAACC
rnacentral:lncRNA from 1 species